AUUGAACGCUGGCGGCAGGCUUAACACGUGCAAGUCGAGCGGAGAUGAGGUGCUUGCACCUUAUCUUAGCGGCGGACGGGUGAGUAAUGCUUAGGAAUCUGCCUAUUAGUGGGGGACAACAUUCCGAAAGGAAUGCUAAUACCGCAUACGUCCUACGGGAGAAAGCAGGGGAUCUUCGGACCUUGCGCUAAUAGAUGAGCCUAAGUCGGAUUAGCUAGUUGGUGGGGUAAGGGCCUACCAAGGCGACGAUCUGUAGCGGGUCUGAGAGGAUGAUCCGCCACACUGGGACUGAGACACGGCCCAGACUCCUACGGGAGGAAGCAGUGGGGAAUAUUGGACAAUGGGGGGAACCCUGAUCCAGCCAUGCCGCGUGUGUGAAGAAGGCCUUAUGGUUGUAAAGCACUUUAAGCGAGGAGGAGGCUACUGAGACUAAUACUCUUGGAUAGUGGACGUUACUCGCAGAAUAAGCACCGGCUAACUCUGUGCCAGCCGCCGCCGUAA
rnacentral:rRNA from 1 species